rnacentral:rRNA from 1 species
GAUGAACGCUGGCGGCGUGCCUAAUACAUGCAAGUCGAGCGAACGGACGCGGAUCUUGCUUCUCUGAUGUUAGCGGCGGACGGGUGAGUAACACGUGGAUCCCCUCCCUAUCAGACUGAGAUAACUUCGGGAAUCGGGCUCUAAUCCCGGAUAAUAUUUUGAACCGCAUGGUUCAAAGGUGAGUGACGGUCUUGCUGUCUCUUCUCGAUGGUUCCGCGCUGCAUUAGCUAGUUGUUAAGGUAACGGCUUACCAAGGCAACCAUGCAUAGCCGACGUGAGAGGGGGAUAGCCGACCUGGGAACUGGGACAGCGACAAGACUCCUAAGGUAGGCACCAGAAGGGAACCGUACGCAAUGGGCGAAAGCCUGACGGAGCAACGCCGCGUGAGUGAUGAAGGCCCUCGGAGCGUAAAACUCUGUUAUUAGGGAUGAACAGAUGUGUAAGUAACUGUGCACAGCUUGACGGUACCUAAUCAGAAAGCAACGGCUAACUACGUG